GAUGAAGAACGUAGCGAAAUGCGAUAACUAAUGUGAAUUGCAGAAUUCAGUGAAUCAUCGAAUCUUUGAACGCACAUUGCGCCCGCUAGUAUUCUGGCGGGCAUGCCUGUUCGAGCGUCAUUUCAACCAUCAAGCCCUGCUUGUGUUGGGGUCCUGCGGCUGCCCGCAGGCCCUGAAAACCAGUGGCGGGCUCGCUAGUCACACCGAGCGCAGUAGCACAUCUCGCUCAGGGCGUGCGGCGGGUUCUUGCCGUAAAACACCCCCUUUUUACCAAGGUUGACCUCGGAUCAGGUAGGAAUACCCGCUGAACUUAAGCAUAUCAAUAAGCGGAGGA
rnacentral:misc_RNA from 1 species